CUGUCCUCUGUGUAGGUGUGCGUCCAGAUAUCUCCUGGUGUCACCUUCUUCUGCUUGGAGCUGUCACUGAAACACUAAGUGAGAGCUGGCAAAGGAAGCAUCCAAGUGUGUUCUGGUGCAUUUCCCAGAAAGGAUGGAGAAUCCUGGAAGCUCCUAAAGCCAAGCUGGUCACACCGAUCUCAUCCAGUCUCUGAGAGGAAGGCACCUGUUGCACUGUAAUCUGGAAGAAGGGACCAAAAUGAGCUAAUUGCCUCACCACAAGGUCACAAGAUUCCUCCAUCUUAUGU